GAGACCAGCAGCGGCACCUAACUCCACCACCACCUGACACCGACAUCACCGGACCCCUCGAGCUCGCAGGGCGGUGGCGCCACGCCAAUGCCGGAUGGGCGCGGGGGACGGGAUGCAGCUCCUCUCGGCGGCGCCCACCACGGGGCCGGCACGGCCGGCGGCGGCUGCUUCGCAUCGAGCGGCGAGGAGCGGAGCAACCGAGCUGUCCUGAUUUGUGUCGGCUUGUGAAUCGUGACUGCUGAUGAUUAACUGAAACGGCGACGGCAUCGCAAGCAGAUUCGGUAGCUAUUUUAACCGAGGGGGUCCAGUGGCACCAACCCAACUACUCGUGGUACUGGGAUUGUUGCGGUGGGAGAGGAGAGGCUGACGAACAAGCAGAAGAGAUGGAAGUACAACUGGGUUUCACUCGAUAUUGCAACAGGAUCUCAUCCCGAGGCGGCAUGCUUGAGCCUGGAGCCGGCGCUCGACUUUUUUUUUUGUCGGAAGCAGCGGCUAGGCCUUGUACUCUACCAACGCCGGAUGAUGACCUCCGGAUUGUUUCAUCAAAUUAUGUGAAAGGAGGAAUCUUUGGAGAACGUGAUCCAUGACACGUCGGUCGGUGCCAGGGACGACGAGCCGGAUAUUGUGGCGAGGGUUGUGAUGACCCCCACUGAUGACAUGGCCGCCGGAGCAGACGGCGACGGCGGCGAGACGGGGACGACGAGCGGUUGGGGAAAGAGCGGGAGGAGGUGGUGGAGUGGGUGAAGGAGCUGUCGCUGUGGCUCAUGGAGCGGGAGCAGAGGCUGCAGCUCCGGCUGGUGGAGCUCGACGACGACGAGCUGUGUGAGCAGGAAGCUCAAGCGGUGCGUCGGCGUUACCGCCGUGGAGGCGCGGCUGCUUUCUCAACACAAGCUCAAGCAGAAGCCGGCCCACCUGGCCUCACAAACCAAUUGUUUUCUUUAACUUUUCAUUUGAAUUCAUUUUGAAUUAAUCCAUAAACAAGGUUCGUAUGUAUAAAUUUACUACACAAAAUAUCUUUCAUGUAUGAAUUUUGUAUGU